rnacentral:snRNA from 1 species
AUACGUACCUGGCAGGGGAGGCACCACGAUCAUGAAGGUGGCUUUCCUAGAGCGAGGCUCAUCCAUUGUACUCCAGGUGUGCUGCCCCCUGUGAUUUCCCCAAAUUUAGGAAUCUCAGCUGCAUUAUCUGUGGUAAUGGGAGGCUGUGUUUGCACUUUCCCCUA